GCUGGGUGUGGUGGCGUGCACCUGUAGUCCCAGCUACUUGGGAGGCUGAGGCAGGAGAAUCACUUGAACCCAGGAGGCGGAGCUUGCAGUGAGCCAAGAUCACGCCACUACACUCCAGCCUGGGUAACAGAGUGAGACUCCGUCUCAA
rnacentral:SRP_RNA from 2 species